rnacentral:lncRNA from 1 species
UUUUGGGGUUGGUUAUGGGAUUUUGGGGGUCGGUUAUGGGGGUCAGUUGUGGGGUUUGGGGUCACUUGGGUUGGUUAUGGGGUCAGUCAGUUGGGGUGAUAGGGUCGGUUAUGGGGCUUGGGGUCAGUUAUGGGGUUUGGGGUCACUUGUGGGGUUGUUGGUUAUGGGGUUUUGGGGAUGGUUAUGGGGUUUGGGGUCAGUUAUGGGGUUUUGGGGUCACUUGGGUUGUUGGUUAUGGGGUCAGUUAUGGGGUUUGGGGUCAGUUAUGGGGUUUGGGGUCACUUGUGGCCUCAAUUAUGGGGUCAGUUGGGGUGAUAGGGUCAGUUAUGGGGUGUGGGGUCACUUGGGUUGUUGGUUAUGGGGUUUGGGGUCAGUUGUGGGGUUGGUUAUGGGGUUUUGGGGUUGGUUAUGGGA